AGUCGCAACCGCACCCACCUCGUCUUGAGUCAUCAGAUCUAGUACGACGGUUUUCAAUCGAUGCGCGAGGUAUAAAAAACUAAAAUUUCACCACGCUCGGGGAACCCUAGCUCAUUUUCACUCUGCUUGGCCACGAACUCUUUUCUCCCUCCUCUAGCACCAGUGAAGGCCAAGAGUGUCAUGUCCUGGCGGCUGGCGCCACACCUGUGAACUCCCGCUAACACAUGCCCUCCCCUCUAUGUGAACACACCAUUAUCGAGGGGCCUCGUGGUGAUGUUGUGGUAGCGCCUGUGUCCCACGAAUCAAUGUCCAACAAUGGUCUUCAUUGAGCUCGUCGUCGGUGACAAAAUCAAAAGCUACUGCUCGAUGCUGCCCUCUCGAUCCCGGAGUCUAUCGCUGUCCCCCUGGUUUCAGCCCUCAAACCCCAGCGUCGAUCUCCCUCGUCUUGCUGCCGGUUUACCGUGGAAGAAGAAAGUCCAUUCGGCGCGCUCUAUGUGUUUGGCAAAAAGCUUAAACCGGAAAUCGUCAUCGCCCUUACACAUAUCGAUUUGGUUUAUGACAUGAUUCCAAGUUCACACAACAGGAGUUGCCAGCUUGCAAGCCGAUUCUUACUCCAAAAUGGGUUGUCUCUGUUUUCUUCAUCGUCGGGGUCAUAUUUGUUCCCAUUGGUGUUAUCUUCAGGAUAAUUUUGGAAAAGGAAAGAGAAAACAAUACCAGAUGCCUUACAACCUGAAUUAGGGAAAGGAUUGCUAAUUGCACAUGGAAGUCACCAAGAACUUGGUAAAGGUGAUUCAAUGACAAAUCUAAUGAUUAACAUGUGCGAUGUGGUAAGUUUGGUCUUACUCAGUUUUCACUUCAAAGUUCUGGUUAGAUUUGAGCACUUGUUUUUCAUGAAGGUCGGCUGAGUAACUUGAGUAUUUUUAAUGACAAAAGUUACAAACACCAGAUGGCUAAUGC